rnacentral:misc_RNA from 1 species
UUGAAACUUCUUUGGAAAUAGUACUGUUGCUGGCCUUGUAAUGAGGUAUGUGCACGUCUAUUGCCAAUUUAUUCAUCCACCUGUGCACUUUUUGUAGGAGUUCUUUGAGGCUAUUUUGUACUUGUGCAAUUUGGCUUUAAAAAGGGCUUCUAUGUCUUAUAAACCUAUUAGUAUGUCUCUGAAUGUUUUUUUUUAUUGGGACUUAAUUGGCCCUUUAAACUUGUA